rnacentral:rRNA from 1 species
GACGAACGCUGGCGGCGUGCUUAACACAUGCAAGUCGAACGGUGAAGCGCCUUCCUUUUUGGUGGGUGUGGAUGAGUGGCGAACGGGUGAGUAACACGUGAGUAACCUGCCCCCUUCUUCUGGAUAACCGCAUGAAAGUGUGGCUAAUACGGGAUAUUCUGGUUCUGUCGCAUGAUGGGUCUGGGAAAGAUAUUGUUUCGGUGGGGGAUGGGCUCGCGGCCUAUCAGCUUGUUGGUGGGGUGAUGGCCUACCAAGGCGGUGACGGGUAGCCGGCCUGAGAGGGUGGACGGUCACACUGGGAAUGAGACACGGCCCAGACUCCUACGGGAGGCAGCAGUGGGGAAUAUUGCACAAUGGGCGCAAGCCUGAUGCAGCGACGCCGCGUGAGGGAUGGAGGCCUUCGGGUUGUGAACCUCUUUCGCCAGUGAAGCAGGCCUGCCUCGUUUGUGGGUGGGUUGACGGUAGCUGGAUAAGAAGCGCCGGCUAACUACGUG